AUUGAACGCUGGCGGCAGGCCUAACACAUGCAAGUCGAGCGAGCGGCGGACGGGUGAGUAAUGUAUGGGGACUGCCUGAUGGAGGGGGAUAACUACUGGAAACGGUGGCUAAUACCGCAUACCAUCGGAUAGCACAGAUGGGAUUAGCUAGUGGGUGGGGUAAAGGCUCACCUAGGCGACGAUCCCUAGCUGGUCUGAGAGGAUGAUCAGCCACACUGGGACUGAGACACGGCCCAGACUCCUACGGAGGCAGCAGUGGGGAAUAUGGCACAAUGGGCGCAAGCCUGAUGCAGCCAUGCCGCGCGUAUGAAGAAGGCCUUAGGGUUGUAAAGUACUUUCAGCGGGGAGGCGUUACCCGCAGAAGAAGCACCGGCUAACUCCGUGCCAGCAGCCGCGGUAAUUC
rnacentral:rRNA from 1 species